rnacentral:rRNA from 1 species
UACGAAGGGUGCAAGCGUUAAUCGGAAUUACUGGGCGUAAAGGGUGCGUAGGCGGUUCGUUAAGUCUGUUGUGAAAUCCCCGGGCUCAACCUGGGAAUGGCAAUGGAUACUGGCAGGCUGGAGUAUGGUAGAGGAAGGUGGAAUUCCCGGUGUAGCAGUGAAAUGCGUAGAGAUCGGGAGGAACACCAGUGGCGAAGGCGGCCUUCUGGACCAAUACUGACGCUCAUGCACGAAAGCGUGGGGAGCAAACAGG